UCCGUUGCGCCAUUAACCCCUCUCUCGGGAUUCGCUCGAAAAGGGGACGCUUUUCGUCCUCAAAAUCAAUUCCCUGUUUCGUUUUCUCUUGAUUCGUGUAGGCGAUGGCUUUGAUUUUGAGAGAAGAGGAUGCGAUGGAUUGGAGCUACAAAGGAGAAGGAGCUGCUAAUCUCGUGUUAAGCUACCAUGGUUCUUCUCCCUUUCUGAUUGGCAAAGUGUUGCGAAUAAAAAAGGUUCCGACAAGAAAGAAGGUUCCAAAAUCUGAGGUGAAGUCUGCAAAUGGAGGUCUUGCUCUGUCUAAGAAUGAACAGCUUCUGUGGAGGGACUUCAAAGAACUUGUGGAGUCGAAUUCGAUUGAACUUGUUGAACAAGGUUAUAUGAUGUGGGUUAUGGGUCCUCUAUUAGACCCCAAACAUGUAGAUGGUGGGAUUUGCAUCACCGUGUCUAGGGAAUUCCUGCAUUCCAUUAAAAGGAGUACCAAUGAUCAACGCCCGACUUGGCGUGUUGAUGCUGCUGAAGUUGAUAUCAAUUGUGAUUCUGCACUUCUUAUUUCCGAUCAUUCUAUUUUCUUAAGUAGUAAAGGUACCCUUAAUGCGGACAUGUGCUUCACAGUAGAAAUAAAGCCCAAGUGUGGAUUUCUCCCGUCUUCAGAAUUCAUUGCACAAAAAAAUGUUAUUAAGAAGUCCACCACACGAUUUAAAAUGCAUCAACUCCUGAAACUUCAUGAAGGAGAGAUAUCACAGCUAAGUGGAUACGACCCUUUGGAUCUGUUCUCUGGUUCAAAGGACAGAAUAUAUCAGGCCAUUACUUCACUGUUUACAACUCCCGGAAAUAAUUUUCGGGUUUUCCAGAAUGGCUCACUUAUUUUUGGAGGAUUGGGAGGUGGCAUGGACAUGACAGAUGCUCGUUCUCAUGAAGCAAAUGAGAAAGUUGAAGCUUUGCUCAAGGGUAGCGGGCUAAAAUUAGCUACCUUCAUAGAGCUUAUAGUGGAGGUUCUUUUGAAAUCUGCAGUACUGGAUAAGCUUUUAGCUGCUCAGAAACUGGAUCUUGUUGACAUAGAAGGGGCAAUUCAUUUAUAUUACAACAUAAUCUCCGAGCCUUGUAUAGUGUGCAAAGAUGUAAUUGAUACAGAACUCAUGCAUCAGUAUUCUUUCCUGCAUUCUCUUUCAUUGGAAGAGAGCCUGAAAAUUGUGAGGGAAUAUCUUAUAGCUGCUACCGCAAAAGAUUGUAGCUUGAUGCUUAGCUUUAGGCAUGCGGAUGUUGGGGCUACAGAAACUGACAGUAGUUCCAUAUUUCUCAAAUCAUGUGGCCUGAGCUUCGAAUACAAGGUGAACUUCCUUGACCUGGAUUUGAAGCCUCUAAACAAGAUGGUUUACUACUAUGAAUUAGAUCAGAAGAUAGUUAAUUACUACACAAAUAAAAUUCUGACAGAAGAAAGUAGAGGCACAUCCACAAUUGGACGUGCUGAGGAUUAGAUCAAUUGUCAACACUGAAGAGUCCGGAUGCCAUAUUUACAUUGAAAGGGUAAAAGAUACAGGUGUCUCUUUAUGGCCUUGCGAAUUUCAUUAGUUCUCUAUAUUAGUUGGCAUACUGUUGUUUAACUGAAUCUAUAAUUAAGAAGUUGUAAUCGUUCCAGACUAACACCACAUCAAGUAUCAACAUUAUUUUUUCGCUUUCGCAAUCUCAUCUUGCUUGAGAUUGUGAAAAGUAAGAGUAUUUGACACAUGAUUUUCUUGUCUACGCUCUCUUGUACUAGUGACUUAAGGACCAUUGGAUGAGUCCUGCGAUACUUACUGAAGUUUUCUUUUUCCGAAACUAAGCUUGUGCAUACUUUUGGAAGUCUCGAUGGAGAAUUAACUCAAUGUUAGCAUUUUAGUGUAUGGCAGGUAAGAUGAAUUGAUGAGCAAUUGUAUUUUAGUUUCUAGUCCAUUGAUAAGAAGAAAAUCACACCUAGUAGAGUUUGAUGAUAUUUGAAGGCCUAAACUAGCUUUGUCACCAAGGAGACUCCCCCCUGUCCCCACGAAGGGGGAAAAAACAAGCAGAAAAAGAAAAGGGGAAAAGGAAUAACUAUUCCUUUUAUCUUGGUCUCAUGAUUUUUUUUAGAUAGUUUGUGAUACAAAGCAAUUCCAGUCUUCUGGCUGUUCAAGAUUUGGUUGUUUAUGUACCUGGAAGCUUGCUUUAUUGUAACCAGGUUUAAAUGGAAAAUCAUAGCUAAUCCUUCAAACUUUAGACAAUUUUUAUCACUUAUAGUAUAAAUAGGUUCCCUUCAUCUACAUUUGGAUUAAAAAUGCCUGUGUUAUUUUUUGUUAUUUUCGUAACCUGGUUCCACAUUAUAAAGGAGAAAAGGACAUUAUACUUGAUCCUGAUUCAAAGAAAGUGACAUACCAACUACAUUAUGAAAAAUUCAAAAGUGACAGCAAUAACCUUCGUAUUUAAGGCAAUUAAAACGGCAGCUAUGCAGCCGAAUGAAUAGGUUUGGUGAUGCAAAAAUGUGUCAAUUAGCAAUAUAGUGCAUGUGGUUCAAGCCUGACCAUAAAAUCUUUACAGGCCAAAAACUCACACGACCUCACCCUAGUUUAUGACUCAACCCAAUCCCGAUGCAUUAUUUUGUGCCAUGUUACUUCAAACUUUUACAACAAGGUCCAUCUCAUGUAUUUCCUUUUUAUUCCCGAAAUUGUUCAUUUUACUCAUGAAAAUAAAGCAUUUGAAAUGUUUAUGGUAACCAUAUGGAUGAUCCAGUGAUAAAAGAGAAGUCAAGUUUAAAGUAGGAAUUUAAAGUUGGUGGCAAAAAUGAUUAGGGAACAAACUUUUGUCUUGGCCGUGCUUAUGGUAACGAUAUGGAUGAUAUUUUUUUUCCCCCCAUAAUUCCUUUGUAGUUUAUUUGUAACAGUGUUAAAAAUAUUGAUAAUCUGUCACCUGAUAUUUUGAUGACAUGCCCUCAAACUUCAUACAAGUACUAAGACACAGUGACUUCAUAGGUGAUACAAUAAAUAGCCCCCUUUGCCAGCGUUUACUGCCCCUCCAACUAGUCCAUCCCCUCAUUUAGUCUCCCGCCAAUCUCCAACCAAAUUAUCAAACACAUAAUAUAUGUGGGUCCUGCAGCAUAAGUCUGAAAAAAUGGUAAAUUGCAUAAAACCCCUCCGAACUUUAUAAAGGAUAGAAAAGCCCCUUGAACCUGUCUUGCUUAAGUACCAUGACUAAUGGCAGGCAAUUACUGUACUUUGAAGUUAUCACAGAUGCUCUAGUUGACAAGUUUUGGACAAUUUUACCCUAUCUAAUAAAUAUAACUUUGCCUUUUUUCGCACAAAUAUAUAUAAAAAAGUAAUUAGAAAAAAGAAAGGCAUGUUAGACUUUCUACUCGAUCCGUUAAUGUUAUUUAUGAGAAUUUCCAAUAGUUCAUGGGGGUUUAGUUUGUGGGUUUUUCCUGUGAUGUAUAAAAUUCGGAAGGGUUUGGUAAACUUUAUCCGAAAUAAAAUGUACCUGUUGGAGGUGAAAUAAAUGCUUCCACAACGAGAAGCUUUAUAAAUAUCAUCGCUCUAUUUGUGCCCACAUCCAUAUCAACUUAUACUUGAAUUCCUUCCCAAUCUUUGCAAAAAGCAUGUCAAAGAAAACUGUUGUAUCAGUGGAUUUACUAUGUUCAAAGUGCAAGAAGUGGGUAAUGAAAUCGAUAGCAUCCAUAGAAGACAUAAAUUCAAUUGUUCUCGAUCCAUCAAAAAACACAGCUACUGUAAUUGGAGAUGCCGAUCCUGCUCAGAUCAUUAAGAAGCUGAGAAAAUGCAGGAGAUCAGCUGCAUUUGUUAGUAUCGGUCCUGCUAAAGAGGAGAAAAAGGAUGAUAAGAAAGAUAAGAAAGAUGAGAAGAAAGAAAAUUUUACAACGGUUCCAAAGACGUGCCAAAGAUGUGAAGUUUGGUAUGUAAUUGGGGAACAUGAUUAUAAUUACUGUUCUAUCUUGUAAUAAUACAUAGAUAUUUGAGCCUAGUUGUUUGAAUUUAUGAGAACUUACCUCCAAGUUUUCUUCA